rnacentral:rRNA from 1 species
UAACACCGGCGCCCUUGGUGGUGACCGCGUUUAUUGGGCCUAAAGCAUCCGUAGCUGGUUGCGUAAGUUUUUGGUGAAAUCUGGCAGCUUAACUGUCAGGCGUGCCGAAAAUACUGCGCGACUCGAGACCGGGAGGAGUCAGAGGUAUUCCUAGGGGAGCGGUAAAAUGUUGUAAUCCUAGGAGGACCGCCGGUGGCGAAGGCGUCUGACUAGAACGGGUCUGACGGUCAGGGAUGAAAGCUAGGGUAGCGAGCCGGAUUAGAUACCCGGGUAGUCCUAGCCGUAAACGCUGUCUGCUUGGUGCUGCGUUUUCUUGAGAACAUGCAGUGCCGAAGUGAAAACGUUAAGCAGACCGCCUGGGAAGUACGGUCGCAAGGCUG